GUUGUAUAAUACGCAUUCCAAGACAUUUAUGGUAAACAAAAAUAUUAUAUUCUAGGAAAAUAUAUUUUAGUUCAAAGAUGUGUUGUCAUCAUCUAAUCCAAUGUUUCCUAUGCUAAAGUUGAUUUCCUCAGAGCAUAUCAUGCUUCUUUCUUUACUAUUGAGUCCUUUUCUGAACUAUCUACUUCUAUUCUUGGUGUUGAUAUUAAUAUUUCCCCUAUUCUAGACCAUAACAUGUCACCGUACCAGUCAUUUUCUUCUCUUGCACCAGUACAUAAUUCCAGUUCUCUAGUGGUUAAACCUCAAAGACCUGGUUCUACCAGUGUUUUUCCUACUCUUGCUAGACCAUCUAGAGCUUGCAGUCCUCCAUUUUGGUUGCAGGACUAUGUUCAGCCUAAAAAAAAGCUUCUUUCUCUCAUGCUUUGGCUCAGUUUUUAUCUUAUGCUAAUAUUUCUCCUGCAUAUAAAAAGGUUUUAGCUACAUGUGUUGUUCAUUCUAAGCCUAUCUUCUAUAAAGUUUCUUUACAAGAUCCUAGGUAAGCAUGAUGAAAAAGAGUUGAGAAAAAGCUAGAAAGGAAGGGAAAUGGCCAAAAGAUUGAUAAAGGUUGCAGAUAAGCUCCAUGAGACGGCCCUCAGGUGUUGCGAUCACAACCUGAGGGUCGUGAUCGUAGUCAGUCCAAAAAUUCAGGGGUGGCAAUCUCAAUAUGAUGCCACGCGAUCGCAAAACCGCGACCGCAAUUGGGGGAAUGCGAUCACGACAGGUAGAACAGAUUUUAGGGGCAAAAUUGAAAAUUCACAGAGCUCAGUCCCAAAAUAUAAAAGGAUGAAACCUCAAUGUUUUACAUAUCCAAUUUUCCAGUCUUAGAGAGAAAAAACACUUUAUAUUGAAUGAAGAAACAAUUGCUGGUAUUAUUCCAAGAGAGAUUUGGUUGUAAAUUUAAAUUGAUGUUUGGAUUUAUACUUAUUUUGCUUAUGAUGAAUGAAUUGCAUGCCAAUUUGGAUAUA